UGGGGUGUAGCUCAAUGACAGAGUGUUUACCUAGCAAGUGGAAGGCUCUAGGUUUGAUCCCCAGCCCCACAA
rnacentral:tRNA from 1 species